AAAAUAAACACCCCAAAAUGUAUUAUUUUUUUAUUUUUUUUUAUUGAACACAUCUUCCAACUUUUUAUUUUUUUUUUAUUUUUUUUUUUAUUUACA
rnacentral:ribozyme from 1 species